ensembl:snoRNA small nucleolar RNA U13
AUCCUUUUAUAGUUCAUAAGCAUAUUGGGUGUUCGUGCUUCUGUGUGAGAUGUGCCUCCCACGAAUCUUGUUAUUCCUUUGGCACAUUACCCAUCUGAUG